rnacentral:rRNA from 1 species
GACGAACGCUGGCGGCGUGCUUAACACAUGCAAGUCGAACGGUGAAAGCGGAGCUUGCUCCGCUGGAUCAGUGGCGAACGGGUGAGUAACACGUGGGCAACCUGCCCCUGACUUCGGGAUAACUCCUCGAAAGAGGUGCUAAUACCGGAUACGAAUCCUGCAGGCAUCUGCGGGAUUGGAAAGUUUUUCGGUCAGGGAUGGGCCCGCGGCCUAUCAGCUUAUUGGUGGGGUGGUGGCUCACCACGGCGACGACGGGUAGCUGGUCUGAGAGGAUGAUCAGCCCCACUGGACCUGAGAGACGGUCCAGACACCUACGGGUGGCAGCAGUUUCGAAGCAUUCACAAUGGGCGAAAGCCUGAUGGUGCGACGCCGCGUGGGGGAUGAAGGCCUUCGGGUUGUAAACCUCUGUCACUGGGGAGGAAACGCUUCAAGUUAAUAGCUUGAAGCCUGACUUAACCCGGAGAGGAAGCAGUGGCUAACUCUGUGCCAGCCGCCGCAGUAA